rnacentral:tRNA from 1 species
CCUGGUGGCUCAGAUGGUAAAGCAUCUGCCUGCAAUGCGGAAGACCCGGGUUCGAUUCCUGGGUCAGGA